rnacentral:rRNA from 1 species
UACGUAGGCAGCGGGCGUUGUUCGGAGUUACUGGGCGUAAAGGGUGUGUAGGCGGUUGUUUAAGUUUGGUGUGAAAUCUCCCGGCUCAACUGGGAGGGUGCGCCGAAUACUGAAUGACUUGGAGUGCGGGAGAGGAAAGUGGAAUUCCUGGUGUAGCGGUGAAAUGCGUAGAUAUCAGGAGGAACACCGGUGGUGUAGACGGCUUUCUGGACCGUAACUGACGCUGAGGCGCGAAAGCUAGGGGAGCAAACGGG